GACGAACGCUGGCGGCGUGCUUAACACAUGCAAGUCGAACGGAAAGGCCCUGCUUUUGUGGGGUGCUCGAGUGGCGAACGGGUGAGUAACACGUGAGUAACCUGCCCUUGACUUUGGGAUAACUUCAGGAAACUGGGGCUAAUACCGGAUAGGGGCUCCUGCUGCAUGGUGGGGGUUGGAAAGUUUCGGCGGGUGGGGAUGGACUCGCGGCUUAUCAGCUUGUUGGUGGGGUAGUGGCUUACCAAGGCUUUGACGGGUAGCCGGCCUGAGAGGGUGACCGGCCACAUUGGGACUGAGAUACGGCCCAGACUCCUACGGGAGGCAGCAGUGGGGAAUAUUGCACAAUGGGCGGAAGCCUGAUGCAGCAACGCCGCGUGCGGGAUGACGGCCUUCGGGUUGUAAACCGCUUUCGCCUGUGACGAAGCGUGAGUGACGGUAAUGGGUAAAGAAGCACCGGCUAACUACGUG
rnacentral:rRNA from 1 species